ACUCCUACCCUUCUGUGACCUACCUAUCGUUGCUUCGGCGGACUCGCCCCAGCCCGGACGCGGACUGGACCAGCGGCCCGCCGGGGACCUCAAACUCUUGUAUUCCAGCAUCUUCUGAAUACGCCGCAAGGCAAAACAAAUGAAUCAAAACUUUCAACAACGGAUCUCUUGGCUCUGGCAUCGAUGAAGAACGCAGCGAAAUGCGAUAAGUAAUGUGAAUUGCAGAAUCCAGUGAAUCAUCGAAUCUUUGAACGCACAUUGCGCCCGCCAGCAUUCUGGCGGGCAUGCCUGUUCGAGCGUCAUUUCAACCCUCGACCUCCCCUGGGGGAGGUCGGCGUUGGGGACCGGCAGCACACCGCCGGCCCUGAAAUGGAGUGGCGGCCCGUCCGCGGCGACCUCUGCGUAGUAAUACAGCUCGCACCGGAACCCCGACGCGGCCACGCCGUAAAACACCCAACUUCUGAACGUUGACCUCGAAUCAGGUAGGACUACCCGCUGAACUUAAGCAUAUCA
rnacentral:rRNA from 1 species